CCUGAUGCCUGCAACAGUACAGUAAACUGUCAUGGAGGUGUUGUCUUGUUGUUUGCUUUGUUUGUCUGCUUCUUCUCCCUUUGUUUCUCCAGCGAUCGACGAUGUCUUCAGCUAAACACCUCGCUGAUCGAAAGGGGGACAUGUAGCAGAAAUGACUCGAACCAGACAAAUCAGAGUCGAUCAGGGCUGUGGCUGAAACACGAGCUGAAUUCCUCAAACCUUACCUGCUGUCUAACGCCGCGGCCUCCCCGCUCUGCGAGCUCCGGCCUCCGGUUCCGCCGUGAGCCCUAUCAAGCCUCCGCCUCGCCAGUCUGCUGGUCGUUCCUGCUACAGAGGUCUUCUGAGUUAUUUGUACAAACCAGCCUACGGGUCAUCCUCUGUUUUCAUCUUUUUCCCACUCCUUGGUUGGAUUUACCUGUGGCUUUACUUUGUUUAAUUAAAGACUGUCAUUUUGCCCUCCAAUUUGAGUCCUCUCUCUUCAAUAUCCAUCACAAGUAUUAUAUAUGUGUGUGUGUGUGUGUGUGUGUGUACCAAGUAAAACUGAUAAAAAUCAACACGAAUGAUAUUUGUAAAUUAUAUAAUUUCAGACUGACUAACGUUAGGAGUAACGUAGCGUUCACUCGCAUCAGGAGUGAACACGGGUAACGUGAUGUUAACAGUUAGACAAUUCUGGAAAACUUAAUUUAUAAAUCUGUUGUUUCAUACUGAUACCCAGCUUUAGUUAGAAUAAAAGCCGAUUCACACAAAACGCGAUUGGUUUGAACCAUAGACUUAGCGUUAACUCUUUCUAUGGCCGUUUCACCGCUGUUUUUAAUCAGCGUCUCGCCGAUGUGUGAUGCAAAAAGUUUAAUUUCUGGCUAAAUAAUCGUAAUAAUAACGAUAAGCUUAAAAUGUAAUAAUAAUGCGUAGGUUUUAUCAUCUCAGUGUUUUUGAACAAAGGUUUCCCUAACGCGUCCCAAUAGUAUGCAGGAAACGUAACGUUAGGCCUAGCAGAGCAAGUGAAUAUGACUGGAAAGUGGAAACGGAAAGAACGGAUUUCCACAGUACUUAAAAGUAAACUUACCUCUGAAUUUCUGUGUUUUGUCUUCAGUGACAUGUAUUCCAGCCUCUUUUCAAUUUUUGAAGAUCCUUCGUCGACAGCAUGAGAACUGAGACAUCCAUGACAUCGAAUAACCGUCGUGCUCGUGCACAUCUCAACUUUGCACACAUAACAUGCACCGCGCAGGCUACAAUCCAAUUGGACGACACAAAUUUAAAGAAGGCUUGCUGCGAAAAUGUGUACUUGAACUUUGAGGCAAAGUAAAGGUACCCCAUAUAAUGUUAAAUAAACAUUAAAUAAUUUUUUCUUCAUUGUGCUUUUGCUAAAAAAGUUAAGUACAUAUAUUUGUUCAACUCUAAAUUAAAAGCAAAAUUUAAAACAGCUUUUUAAUAGGUUUAAAAUUACAAUUAAAAUGCAGGCCUACCUUAAUACAUUUACUUUAUGUUUAAAAUGUAUUAUAUUGAUGCUCAGAAUAAUCAGUUAAAUGUUAUGUGUUUGUGGGCUCUUAAAUAUAUUGGGUUAUGUUGUGCAUCUUUUCCAAAUAACCAACAACUCAAGAAAAAUAAAUAUCUUACUGUUUAAUCUAUUUUGGGUGACUGUUUCAUACACUUUGGCUUAGUCCUUUUGUCACACAAGUAAUUGUACCUUUUUGGGGGGAUUAAAUGGUCCAAACAUGGACCCUCUGACAGUUG
rnacentral:lncRNA from 1 species